GAUGAGCAUGCGUCCCAUUAGCUUGUUGGUAAGGUAACGGCUUACCAGGGCAACGACGGGUAGGGGUCCUGAGAGGGAGAUCCCCCACACUGGUACUGAGACACGGACCAGACUCCUACGGGAGGCAGCAGUGAGGAAUAUUGGUCAAUGGGCGCAAGCCUGAACCAGCCAUGCCGCGUGCAGGAUGAAGCAUCUAUGGUGUGUAAACUGCUUUUGUACGAGAAGAAACACUCCUUCGUGAAGGAGCUUGACGGUAUCGUAAGAAUAAGGACCGGCUAACUCCGUGCCAGCAGCCGCGGUAAUACGGAGGGCCCAAGCGUUAUCCGGAAUCAUUGGGUUUAAAGGGUCCGUAGGCGGUUUUGUAAGUCAGUGGUGAAAGCCCAUCGCUCAACGGUGGAACGGCCAUUGAUACUGCAAGACUUGAAUUAUUGGGAAGCAACUAGGAUAUGUAGUGUAGCGGUGAAAUGCUUAGAGAUUACAUGGAAUACCAAUUGCGAAGGCAGGUUGCUACCAAUACAUUGACGCUGAUGGACGAAAGCGUGGGGAGCG
rnacentral:rRNA from 1 species